AAGUCGUAACAAGGUCUCCGUAGGUGAACCUGCGGAGGGAUCAUUACAAGUGACCCCGGUCUAACCACCGGGAUGUUCAUAACCCUUUGUUGUCCGACUCUGUUGCCUCCGGGGCGACCCUGCCUUCGGGCGGGGGCUCCGGGUGGACACUUCAAACUCUUGCGUAACUUUGCAGUCUGAGUAAACUUAAUUAAUAAAUUAAAACUUUCAACAACGGAUCUCUUGGUUCUC
rnacentral:misc_RNA from 1 species